rnacentral:rRNA from 1 species
CGGACGGGUGAGUAACACGUGGAUAACUUACCUAUAAGACUGGGAUAACUUCGGGAAACCGGAGCUAAUACCGGAUAAUAUAUUGAACCGCAUGGUUCAAUAGUGAAAGACGGUUUUGCUGUCACUUAUAGAUGGAUCCGCGCCGCAUUAGCUAGUUGGUAAGGUAACGGCUUACCAAGGCAACGAUGCGCAGCCGACCUGAGAGGGUGAUCGGCCACACUGGAACUGAGACACGGUCCAGACUCCUACGGGAGGCAGCAGUC